GCAGCGCGGGGAGGCUGCGGGGGCCGCGGGCCUGCGAGGGGAAGUCCGCUGAGGUCUCUAGAAGACGGCGGCUGCGGGUCAGUCAUCAGAGAAAAGCCACGCGUGAGGGGAGAGAGGCUGUUCCCAGCGUCAACGGCGCGGACGCACCGUGUCUCGGGAACAGCAGAGGACGUCGGGGUUUGACAAAAUCGUGCCGUAUGGCGGGGUUGAUCGCAGCUUGCUGUUACAAAAGAGCAGCCGCUGCCCGGGGUGCCGAUCUGCCCUCGGCGGCAGGGAGCUUGUUCAGCGGCCAUGCCUGGUCUGUAGGGCAGCAGCUCUGGCUGUGGGGAGCAGCUGUGGCUUGUUGGGAAAGAGCUGUUCGAGAGAGAGAGCGGACAACGCAAGGAAGGCAGGGUUUGAGCAGCAGCGAGACUUCCCUCUUGAGCAGGAGCUGCCUGCAAAUACUGCAAGUGUUUCAGUCUGUCACCACCUACUUUGACAGACUGAUGGCUGGUAUUUCCAGAUGGAGGUAUGCCACCAAGGCAAUGUGAAGUUUCAGGAAGCUUAUGAACAUUAUGAGCAAUGAAACUAUCCUCUAGUUUCAUUGGAGCAGAGAAAAAAGACACUACCAUUUUUGGGACUUUUUUUAGUGUCUGAAAUACUAGGUAGGAGUGGGUCUGUUCUCUUUUUAAAAAAUGUACUCAUGCAAAGCAAGCUAUUUACAUAUGUCUGUUAUUUUGCAUAAUGCUAACAGACUAUUCUGUGCAUGACAUUACUCCAUUUUUGAAACUACAUCACUGUGCUUUAUGUUUUCCUAUCAUUGCAUAGGAAGUCUUUUGACUUUCUAAAUUUCUUCUAGACUCCAGAGAAGAUCCAUGACACCAGAAUGUUACUGAAAGUUGUAACAUCACUAACAGGGAAUGGAGGGCAUUCCAGAAUACUGCUUGCUGCCACAAGUCACUGGAAUGACUGACCUGGUCUAAGAAAUGUAAUCUUUCCUUUUGCAGCUUGACACUUUGUUGAGCUUUAUAGUCUUAAGGGACUUAUUUUAUCUUAAAGCCUUGCAUGUUGUGGUGAGACUAGCAAGCUUAGUAGAGGCAGAUGUAUUCCUCAAAUAUGUUUUGACUUUCAGCAUCAUAAUCAAAUAAUUUGGUAGUUGCACUUGUUCUCUCUUGAGAAUUUCAUACAGCUUUCAGCUGAUGCACAAAAUAGGAAAUGUAUUUCUGGAUUCAAACUGAGUGAGCAUCCCUAAGCUCCAGGACCUGUGGAUCCUGCCAGGAAGAGUCUGAUUCUCAUCAAAGUUUCUGUGUCAUCUAUGCCAUUAAAUCCCGUGAUGGUAGAAAAGGGCCUUUCCUCAGAAAAAGAGCAGUUUAUUGCACAUCAAACAGAAAUCUUAUAUGGAAGUCACAGGCUCUUCUGCAGCUCUGCUGAACCUUGUUUUCAAGUACCAGAUGGGAGACUAGACCUUGAAAUAAAUAAAAGAAGAAUGCAACAGGUAGUUUUUUCACACAUAAUACCUGGAUACAUCCAUGGAAUGUGAUGAAGAUAAACUGUGUAUUUUAAGUAUCUUAUGUAAAACUCCAUUCUGUCUUUCAGUCUCUUACCUAAGAUAUAGGGGACUCUAUUCAGAAGUAAUCAGUGUAGGGUACGUACUCCACAAGAAAAUUAGUUUUAUGAGUAUCUCAGUCCAGUACUUCAUAUUGACUUGUAGUGUACAUACACCUGGAAUCACAUCUUGGUCAGAUUUUUAGCAUGUUUUCUAAGUAGGAGAAAACACAAGCUGGAAAAGGAGCAGUCAUCAUCUAACCCAUGGCAGGGUUACAGAGAAAACCAGAAGUAGUUCUUGGAAAUAAUUUCAGGUGGCCAUUUGUUCUGAGAUUCCAGACCUUUAUAUUAGAAGCAGCCUUUCACAUCUAAGGUUACUAUGAAAUAGUAUUUCAUAUGCCCCCUCUUCCUUUUUCCAAGGAGUUUAAUUAGACAAAUAAACCCUCACACUUCUAUAUUAUCUAACCUCUAAGCAUCUUGGCAUGCACAUCAUGUUUUUAUAAGGCUUAGUACUUGUUUAUGCAACUAGACAAACAGUAGUUUUGGAUCUUUGCGUUUAAAGUGAAGUCACCAAAGAUAGUUUGCUCUGGAUCUGAACUAAUUCAGAAAGAAACUUGGCAGCAGAUCCAAGCAUUGUAGUUACUGGAAUAUGUUACUGUUAUAUUUGUUCUAAGAUACGAGAACCAUUUGGAAAAGAAAACAACCAAAUUCACUUGAUUGUAAGCUCUCAAGGAAUUUAGUUUUAAAUACACCAGAAGAGUUCCAGGCUUGUGCCAUUUCAAGCACUUCAGUAAGAGUUAGAUUUGUAAUUUAUCCAUACUUUUUAUUCUGUUUUGCUACCUGUUUUGUUCUUUGUCAUUAAGCUCCAUCUCAGGUAUUGUCUGUACAUAGUAUAAUGUGCUGCCCUUGUCAGUGCAACACAAAAUUUAAAAAGUGUAAUUUUUAAAUAGUAAUUAGAGAUGCUUUGCCAGUUACUUUGCUUUCUCUCAGGACAUGGCCAUGCUAAAACAGUCCAACAUCAUAUAGAUUCCUUCCCUUUGUACAUUAUCUAAAGGACACAUAGAGGCACAUUAAGAGUUUAAAAAAUAUAACUGCUACACAAAGAGAGUAAUUUUGAGGUGAUACUGAAACUGAUUUUUAUUUCACUGGUGAAAGCCAGUAUGAGUAGAUCCAAGUGAAAGCUUGCAACUACAGAUGCUACAGCCACAUCAGUGAGUGGCAGUUUGUUCACCUGACUUAGUUUCAAACACAGAAAACAACAGAGACAGACCAGCAAACCACAGAGGCCUCUGUUUUGGUGCAGGUGGGAUCCUCCUGCUUUGCUUUGGACUGGCUUCUCUGUCUGUAGCACUCUCAUGCUUUUGGGCUGUUUGUGUUGGUUGGGGUAGAGUCACAGCUGUCCCCGUUUCAUUGGAGACCAGUGGUCACUGCUCUCCUGGACUUCAUGGAAGCCACUGUGUGGCUUCUUCUGGGCUGGACACCCCACAGCAGCAGGCCCAGGGUCCCACCAGAAAGCAGAGCUGUCCCCAUCAGUUAUAUCUGUCUCCAGAGAGCUUGUUUCAAAAGCUAUUACUUUACUUCCAUGAGCUAUGAGCCUCUUGUCCUUGGAUGGGAAUUCAGGAGAAAACAUCUGCUUGUAUAAUAGUAUUACAUAAUAAGCUUAGGUGGAAUGGAAUGGCAGUUUGUUCUCUCCUUAAAGUGAGCACUGGGAUCUACAUUAGAGAUAGCAGUUAAAGUGGCAGCCAGCUCAUACCAGUGGCAGUCACAUCUCCACUGCUCAAAAGUCUCCAAGAUCUAUCAGGUUUAGUCUUGGUUGCGUUUUGUUUUGUUGUGGGUUUUGUGUGUGUGGGUUUUGGUUUGGGUUUUUUUUUGUAAGAAUAUCCUCAUUUACCAUCAGCUGCUUCCCUACUAUAUCCUUGGUUUCUUAUGGUUCAGCCAUGCAUCUUGUUGAUCCUUGUGGUCCUUUCACUGGCACUGCUGCCACAGCAGCUGCAGCUUCCAUUUCUGUGUCAGGAGAUGAUCCAGCUGCAGGUAGGUUGGUGUUUUUGUAGCUUUUACUAGAACUGCUGCUGCAUCACAAGAAUCCACUGCACCAACAACAUGGCUAGCAUUGCUGGUUUUCUGUUUAAUGGAAUUUCUGAAUUUUUUGAAUUUUUCUGUUUAAGGAUUUCUGAAUUCAAGUGUGCCUUUUUUUUUUUUUUAACUUCUCUUUCCUCUUACAGCUUUACUAAGUUGCACCCUGACAGAUCCAGAAUCAAGAAAUAAACCACCUGCUUUUUUUCCAAAAUGAAACACCAAUGCCUUUCAUAUCAUUUAGAAAACUGAUUAAUCUGCAGUAUCCUCCCCCCUCAUAUUUUUCCUAUUCUUGUUCUUUUAAGUAAAAAUACUGUUUCCUGAAGAAUAUACCUCUAGCUUUCUUUCCUCAGGCACAUGUAUUUAAGAGCUUUUAUCAGCAGCUCUGCCACAGCCUUAAGAAGUCUGAAGUUUGGAAGGACUGUAGGCAGGUAGAGCAAUGCCAGAUUUACUCUAGGAAGGCUGUGUGCAUUGGCUUCAGGUAACUAGGGUCUCCUUUGACAAGGCAGUAAUACUCAUUUGUAACAAUUUCAAGGCAGGGGAACUGUGAUAAUGAACUUAUCCCAUACGUUUGUAUUUGCUCCCUGUGAAUUGUUCAAGUCUCACUGGAUAAUUUGAGCCCAAGAGACACUGAACUCCUCUCUAAAGCUUUAAGAAAUGCUUUGAACAAAUCUGACCAAAAGUGCAAGGUUUCAAUGGCAAUAGGAGGUUUUUUAAAUGGCAACAAUUUUUAUGCAAAAAGUAGUUACUGCUCCUGUAAUUGAAAGCACUUUUUACCCCUAGAAGUGGAUUUAGGUGCAUCUUUUGCUCACUUGCUGAGAUGGAGUGGUCUUCCAACACCGUGUUUUGUUCUAGAACAACAUAAAUGGCAUGACUAUGUAUCUCAGAGGUAGCUGAUAAAAACAAAAUGUUGGCUUUUAUCUUACAUAAGCUAGAAAUCAGGGCAAGUCUUCAUGUGAAAGAAGUAAAGGGAUUUACAGGAAAGGAUGUGUCAUGGUAGUGUGAGUUCCUCAACCAAAGGUGGGGGUGUUAGGGUAUCUAUCAUCUGUGCUGUUCAGAAGAAUUUUCUCAAUGAGAAAUUUAAAGCCGACAUAAGUUCUGAAUUUCUGAUGAUUUCUAUGCCCUACAGAACACUGUAACAUUCUUUAGACUAAUACAUAGGAUAAGACUGUUGUCUUAGACAAACCUCAGAGAAGAUUCAAAGCCUCAAAAGUUCUGUUUAGAUGGAGUUACAAGUUAGGAAGAAAAAGCAGAGAGAGAAAAAGGAAAGAAGACUUGCAUGCUUGCCAAGGAAGAGCAAGCUGCUUGGAGAAGCUGCUGUGGGAACAUCUUUUGAGUCUGGAGAGAAGAUGAAACAUAAAGACAUUAAACAUCAGCUCUCUUAAGUAGGUGCAUUUACGAAGCAGAACACAGAUCAUUUGUUUAUUUGGAUAACAGUAGCAAAAUCACUUGUAGCUAACAAGUUAAGAACGCUUUUCUAGUUACAUCUUAUUUUUUACUUAAUAACUGUUUCUGCUUCUGGUGUCAAGAUUUCUUGCUGGACCAAGCAUGCAACUUUUCUCUUUAAGCUUUCCUAGUGUUAAGGGUGAACUCAGUACUAAAUUUGACAAAUAAGCUGUAAACUUUUACAGUAGUAAUGAUUCCAGGUGGUGUGUAGACUCUGUCUAAAAUCAUGUUAAUUUGGGGAUGUCAGCCCCUGAGAUGUUUUCUCUGCCAAGCAGUGAAUCCCUAGGAAAUUCCUCUUUGCAGGUUUACUCUUUACUUAGAAGAAAGAAAAAACAGAGGGGAAAAAAAUUAGUUACCUUCUAAGUGAUCAAGAAACAAGAAAAUUAAAGUCACUGAAUUAUCAAAAUAACAAGCAAUAGGACAAGAUAAAGUUGCCUUCAAAUUGCACCAAAGGGGGUUUCAAUCGGAUAUUAAGAAAUAUUUCUUCAUCCAAAGGGUUGUCAAGUAAUGGAACAGGCCACUCAGGAAAGUGGUUGACUCACACUCCCUGAGGGUAUUUAAGAGAUGUGUAGAUGUGGCAUUUAGGGACAUGGCUUAAUGGUGGCUAGGGUAUUGCUGAGUAAAUGGUUGGAUUCAAUGAACAUUUUUUUGUCUUUUAUAACCUGAACGAUUCAAUGGUUCUUUAAAGUAACCUCUUAGUUGAAAUCCUGGACUUUUUAAUUUUUUUUUUGUGUAGGUAGAAAGAAUAGCAAUAAAAUUACAUCAGAAAUAAUCAAAGAAGGGAUUUUGUAGAGAAGUACCCAAUAAUACGUGUUGGCGCGCGCGCACGCAUGUGUGCACACACACACACACAUACACACACACACACACUUUUUUCCCUAAAAAUACGAGUACAUAGAAAGGGAGCAGACUUCAGUGAAUUGGCAAAGAAACUUAAACUGAGGAGCAUCUGCCUGUUGAUUAUGACUGUCACUUAAACCAUACCUAAGCAGUUUAAAACUGAAGAGGAGCAGUCUUUGAAAAUAAUAGACUUCCUUAUUUCUUUUAUGAUUCACACCUGCUCGUUUGAAAAUGUAAAACACCUAGAUGUUUACAGAGACUUAGGGAUUGUGUGCUCUGGGGAGUUGUCUCUCACUUUUUUCCUCAUUUGCACAAUUUCUUUAAAGAUACUUGUGGCAUGGGAUGCUUAUCUCCGAUGAAAAGCCUGUUCCAUCAGGCCAGCACCCCUGGAGGCAGCCGAAGAUUACCAGGCUGUCUGAAACUUCUGAGUCAGGUUAUUGUCUUAUCUCAGUAUUGUUGUCUGCCAGUUUUAUUCUCCCAAUAGUAAUGAAAGCCACACAAGAAUAGGAGUCAUGAUUUCCUGUAGCUCUGCCACCCACCUGUAACACAAGUAAGGAGGACUAGCUAGGUGGGGAGUUCUCAGUCUGAUUUGCAAUUUCUACACUAAAGCAGUAGUAAUGCUAUUUAAUGAGGUAAAAGGGUCUGGAAGUAAUUCUCAGAAAAGAAGGUACAAAAGGUAAUGUACCACAGAUUUGUCCUUGCUCAGGGUUUCUCUUGUGGGUGCUGACCCAGGAUGAGACAAACACUCUUGGUGUCCUUGAGAGCGGACUCAGGCAGACUGCUAGCUAGAGGAGCCUUGGUCACUUGCCAUGGUGAGAUUUUCUAGUUUUUAGUGAAAUAUAAAUAUUGUGAUAAUUAUAGGAAACUUAUUUUUAUUAAAUCCUGUAAUGUAUUUUAAAAUAUUAUAAUUUAGUAAUAUAGUUACUGUUACUGUUCAGGCAACACCUGUCAAGCAAUGUUCAUCCUCGCAAAAAGGAGAAUUUAAUGUAAUACAUAUAUGUAGAUGGCAAAGCAACUUUCUAAAAGUUAUAAAGAUGUACAACAUAAUAUUUGCUGUGACCUUGAAGAAAUGUUUUUCUUUUUUGUUCCUCCUUUCACUUUCAGACUGGUUUUACCAAAACUCCAAUUUCCUAACCAAGUUUUUUAAUGCCCCUCACCACUUUGGAAGCUGCUUUUACUGAUUUAACUUCCACACCUAGAUGAGAGAAUUUAAAAUUCCCCAAGCCCUUGUGCUGCAAAGUCAUCAUACUUACUUCAGAAGGUUCAACCAACAUGUAAAAUGGUUUGUAAUGGAUUUGGAUGCUCUUCAGCUCUCCUGCAGGUUAAGCUUCAAUAAAGGCAGUAAUUAGAUGCAUUUAACAUCUGCUACAAAGCCACCAACAUGAUUUUUUGAAGCUUUGUACCAAGAUUCAUAAUUGUAUUCCCAAUCUGUUUCCAAUUUAAUUAAACUGAGAUGGAAAUGAAAAAUGCUGUUCAGGAGUGAAGUGUUUUGUAACUGCUUCCAGUGAAAAUACUGCUCCUUUCACACCUCUUUUGAAUGAGUGUAACAAUGCCCCUGCUGAAAGGCUUAUUGUUGCUAGUGUGAUGGAUCAGUUUCUAGAUUUAAGUGCAAGUAACCACAACUAUCAAUGUACUUCUAAACACUUGAACAAUAAUACCCAUAUUUUUUGCUUACAGCAGUAAAACCAGACACAUUAUAUAGCAGAAGGGUGUGCCACAUACACGCAGCUGCCUUAGUUUCAGCAAACUACCAUAAGAUCAGGACCAAGGCCAUUGGCUUGCCUUUGACUGAUUGAUGAACAUGCACUUAACAACCAGCCACAAACCUGCUCUCUUCCAUAGCAAAAUGAAAAUACUAUCUCAGCUUCUGCAGUAUGAAGCAACACAGACCAAUCAGACAUUCAACUGUAGAUUCAAGUAAGAACUUUAAUCAAUGCACAGACAGUAGAGAAUAUGGUAUUCUGAAUUCCCCUCAAAAGAUAAAAAAAAUACUUCUUAAGUAUUUCACAAAUUUAUAAAAUGUAAAGCUUCCUUUUACAAAUAAUAUACAAAUUUUUUUACUACCAAAUGUAUAACACAUUUUUUGUUACAACUGUUGCCUUCUCUCAGAAUUAUGUAUUCCCUGAACUGUUCUCCUUAAAAAAACAGGAGAGUAUAAUAAAUCCAGAAGUAUAAUGAAUAUAUUGCUCAUGAUGGUGGUAAAUGCUAAAGAAAAGAAAUCAGAUCUUUUUAUCUAUCAGAUCACUAAAGUUCUCAUGUGAACUAUAUUAACAUGAAUAAAUGUUUUGAGUGUUAAAUUUCAAAGUGAGAUUGAACAGUACUGUCAGUCAAAUAAGUCUCCGUGCUCUGAAAAAGGUAAGAGAGAAAACAAUCCUUACAGACAAGGAACCUCCAAAUUAGGGUAUUGGUAAUUGAAAUUCAUCCAGAAAAUGAUACUCCUCAGAAUAUGGUUUGUAUUUUACCCCAGACAGGUAAUCUAUAAAAGUCCUAAAGAAGAGAGACUUUUCACAAGGGCAUGUAGUGACAGGACAAGAGCAAAUGGUUUCAAACUGAGAUUACAUUUAGCUUAGAUAUCAGGAAGAAAUUCUUUACUAUGAGGGUAGUGAGGCACUGGAACAAGCUACCCAGAGCGGUUGUGGAUGGCCCAUCCUUUGAACUAUUUAAAGCCAGGUUGGAUAAAGCUCUGAGGCACCUGAACAGCUCUGAGUGAAAGCUGUACCUGCCCAUGGCAGGUUGGAACUAGAUGAUUUUUAAUGUCCCUUCCAAUCCAAGCCAUUUUAUGAUUAUAUGAUUCUAUGUUAAGCCUUUUGUAUUAUCCAAUACCCUAGUAAUGCCUAGUGGUAUCACUGUCACAAUCUCCAUUUGCUACAUUCCAUCACUUGCUGAAGGUUUGUCUGAAUCAUGUAACAAAUGAUUCUUCUCCAGAGGCCAGAAGGCUUGCUGGGAAAAGAAACCCCACUAUGCAGUUCAGUAACUCUUGUGGAGGAAUUAGGGGAACAUUUGAGGUGCAUUUUGAUUUGUGGACAGUUAAACUACUAUUGAAAAAAAUGAAACUUUUUUCAAAGAAUGGAGUGGUGCAACAGAAAAAGUACCAAUAAAGUUUUAAUUAAAAGAAAAAAAUAAAAAAAAAA